rnacentral:rRNA from 1 species
UACGUAGGGUGCGAGCGUUUAAUCGGAAUUACUGGGCGUAAAGCGUGCGCAGGCGGUUCGUUGUGUCGGUGGUGAAAGCCCCGGGCUUAACCUGGGAACUGCAUUUGUGACUGGCGGGCUAGAGUAUGGCAGAGGGGGGUAGAAUUCCACGUGUAGCAGUGAAAUGCGUAGAGAUGUGGAGGAAUACCGAUGGCGAAGGCAGCCCCCUGGGCCAAUACUGACGCUCAUGCACGAAAGCGUGGAGAGCAAACAGG